rnacentral:rRNA from 1 species
UACGUAGGGUGCAAGCGUUGUCCGGAAUUAUUGGGCGUAAAGAGCUUGUAGGCGGUUUGUCGCGUCUGCUGUGAAAUUUCGGGGCUCAACCCCGAACUUGCAGUGGGUACGGGCAGACUAGAGUGUGGUAGGGGAGACUGGAAUUCCUGGUGUAGCGGUGAAAUGCGCAGAUAUCAGGAGGAACACCGAUGGCGAAGGCAGGUCUCUGGGCCAUAACUGACGCUGAGAAGCGAAAGCAUGGGAGCGAAC